rnacentral:sRNA from 1 species
CUUUUCGAGGUCGACCGCGUGGCUGGAAGACAUGGCCACUCCCGUCGGUGUUGAGCACGGCGAGCAGUCUCAGGCCUUUAGUGAUGAUGGUAAGGCUGCCUGAGUGGGAAAACGGGGUCUUCCUUGACACGACACUAACAUACUUGGCUUCCCUUCCUCAGAGACGAAGUGGUGACGAUAAUCUCGGUUUCUCCCUCAUAGGGUGGUUAGGAGGGUUAAAAGUACUGGAUGAGAAAAUGCUUUCCAAACGUUGAGAAAAUGUUACUAUGUGAAGGGAGAGAGCUCAAGCCUGUCCUCGGCGUCAUAGGGCCGGCUUCUGCGGGGGAGAGCGCCUAACAACCUGGGCAGCCCCGUGCGCCUCCGCCGCGCGUGUGCUGAGCGUGCAUGCCCAGGGGUCUUCGGUGCCCGCGCACGGGCAGACUCUGACGAUGGUGGUUCUUAAUUCAGCAUCAGGAGUGUUAACGUGUGAAGACGUGAUUCCGCUUGGAGUGCCUUGAGGACGGCCCCAAUCGGUAGUUCAUAUUUAGCUUUACAGAUAGGAGUCAAUAGGAUUGUAAACUUCUGGAAAGCCGUAGUUUUAACAACGAGCCUUUUUUCCUCCCCCAGAGGCCUUUCUUUGUUUGGCAUCUGCAGAGACGGUGAAAAGCAGAGCUCCAGGUUGAAGGAUCAGAGUAAUAGAUGGAGCCCUUAACAUGAGUAAGAGUGGGUGCAGGCAGGGCCUGAGUGGUCACUAGAAAUGAGAAAGCACAGUUGGUGCCAUCACAUACCUUCACCUCCUGCUUUAUUCUGAAGUUCAAGUAUGAGAAUACGUGUUGACAUACAAGCCAGCUAUGGUAAGAAGUUACUCAAAAUUCAGAAUGCUAAUUAUUUUAAUGAUAAAAAUGAGUAGGGUCUUUGCCCGUGUAAUUUGGGGCCACUAGGUGUCAUUGUAACCAACGUGGAUCCUCGUUAGGGCAUGCAGGGAUGAAAGAGACAUGGCAAAUGAAUUUUGGAUCGCUAGGAUUUAGGAAUCUUUGUUAUUGGCUGAGCUGAGGAUGAUUUAAAGUUAUCCCUGUCUGAAAUGGUAUCUUUUGUGAGGACUGACUUGCUGAGGCUCAGCUGUUUAAUACAAAUCUGGAGAAUAAACCUUAAUUAAGGUGGUUUCUGUUAGAAUGAAGCCUGUUAUCCUUCUCUUUUAGAUUAAAGGUGUUGGCUGUGGCCUUGAAAACAGUCAUGUGAAAACUCAUCACCUUAAGGUGUUAAGUGUAAGGAUCUUCAUGAUGAAAUUUCUGUAAAUGGUGAGAUUUUUAGUACUUUCAUAGACUUGAAUAUGCUUAUGGUCCUCUUUAAGUAUUGGUUUGUUAGUUUUGGGGAUGUGUUGGCCUUCCAGGGUUAUGAUUGCCCAGAUAAUGGAAGUAGUAUGGAAUUCCUUUUGAUAGGGUCCUUGCCAAGCACUCUCAUAAAGAGCAUUUUUUGUUUGUUUGUUUUGAGACAGAGUUUUGCUCUUGUUGCCCAGGCUGGAGUGCGAUGGUGCGAUCUUGGCUCAGCGCAACCUCUGCCUCCCGGGUUCAAGCUAGUCUCCUGCCUCAGCCUCCCAAGUAGCUGGGAUUACAGGCAUGCGCCACCACGUCUAGCUAAUUUUGUAUUUUUAGUAGAGACGGGGUUUCUCCAUGUUGGUCAGGCUGGUCUUUAACUCCCGACUUCAGGUGAUCCGUGCUGGGAUUACAGGCGUGAGCCACCUCGCCUGGCCAUAAAUAGUAUUUCUAAUGUCAACCCCAUAUGAGGUAAAUUUUUUUCCCCACUCUGCUGCUGAGUAAGUAAAAGUGAGGCGUAGAGAGUUCUUUUGCCCAAAGUUAUACAAGCAGUUAGUGAGUUAGACUGGCAGUUCUGAACUGGGGAGCGAUGGUGUUCCUGGCAUCUGGUGAAUGCUACUAUUAAUAAAUACCCUGGCUGGGCCUGGAUAUUUAUCUCAUGCCUGUAAUCCCAGCACUUUGGGAGGCCGAAACAGGUGGAUCGCCUGAGGUCAGGAGUUCGAGUUCGAGACCAGCCUCGCCAACAUGGUGAAACCUUGUCUCUACUAAAAAUACAAAAAUUAGCUGGGUGUGGUGGCGGGCACCUGUAAUCCAAGCUACUUGGGAGACUAAGGCAGGAGAAUCUCUUGAACCCAGGAGGCAGAGGUUUGCAGUGAGCUGAGAUCGCACUGUUGUACUCCAGUCUAGGCGACAAGAGCGAAACUCUGUAAAUAAAUAAAUAUCCUACAAUGCAUACAACAGCCUGCAUGAGGAAUAAUUGAUCCACCCAGUAUGUCAGUAGAGCUGAGGUUGAGAAACUCUUGUAUACCACACGUUAGGCUAACUAGAGAUCUGAGCUCUAGUCUCAGCCUAUUUUCUCACCAGAGUCUUGUUUCUUCAUUUGUGAAACAGGGUUAGUGAUUUCCAAACUUGAUUAUUACAUCAGAGCCACCUACAAAGUGUUAAAAUAUACACAUUCCUGGGCCUCACCUCCAGGCAUGGGUGAGAAUGGCUCUGGAGUGGAGUCCAGGAAUCAUGUGGCCAGUCCAAGAGCAAGUGGGUAGUAACUAGAUCAGGGGUGUCAAUCUUUUGGCUUCCCUGUGCCACAUUGGAAGAAGAAUUGUCUUGGAUCACACAUAAAAUAAACUAACACUAAUGAUAGCUGAUGAGCU